rnacentral:miRNA from 1 species
CUUCCAGUAGCACCUUAGAGACCAACUAAGUUUGUUAUUGGUAUGAGCUUUCUUGUGCCUGCUCAUACCAAUAACAAACUUAGUUGGUCUCUAAGGUGCUACUGGAGG